AUCCAUGAGAUUUGAGAGUCAGGGAUUCAAGUUUAUUCUUGAAUAUUUUGUGCUGAUACAAAAGUUUUGCAGUACUAUUUCAAUCUAGGAUUGCAGUGCUAUUACCACAGCUACUGGCACUCCAUGGUCUAUGUGCCACAGAUGCAGCAGCAGCUUCAUGUAGAGAAUUAUCCAGUCUAUACUGAGCCACCUCUGGUAGAUCAAACCGUUCCUCAAUUCUACAGUGAGGUGAGGAGAGAAGAUGGCAUACAGGCGGAAGCAUCAGCAAAUGAUACUUUUCCGAAUGCUGAUUCUUCAUCUGUCCCUCAUGGAGCAGUCUAUUAUCCAGUAAUGUCAGAUCCCUAUGGGCAGCCACCUUUGCCAGGUUUUGACUCCUGCCUUCCGGUUGUGCCAGAUUAUUCCUGUGUUCCCCCCUGGCAUCCAGUUGGUACAGCAUAUGGUGGUUCUUCUCAAAUUCAUGGUGCUAUAAAUCCUGGGCCAAUUGGCUAUAUUGCUCCAUCUCCCCCAGCUUCUCAUUAUGUACCUCAGGGUAUGUAAGAUCCAGCAGUAUGAAGUAUUCUUGCACUGCCAUUUUCUUGCUGUUUUUGUUUUUAAAAAGUAUUUUAUGUUAGUGGUUAAAUGAUUUAGGUGAUUAGUGUUUACUAUUGUAUUUGUCUUUAAAAUUAUUUUAUCUUUUGAUUUAAAAUAGUACUUUAAAAU
rnacentral:sRNA from 1 species